rnacentral:rRNA from 1 species
ACGAACGCUGGCGGCGUGCUUCACCCAUGCAAGUCGCACGGAAAGGCCCUGCUUUUGUGGGGUGCUCGAGUGGCGAACGGGUGAGUAACACGUGAGUAACCUGCCCUUGACUUUGGGAUAACUUCAGGAAACUGGGGCUAAUACCGGAUAGGAGCUCCUGCUGCAUGGUGGGGGGUGGAAAGUUUCGGCGGUUGGGGAUGGACUCGCGGCUUAUCAGCUUGUUGGUGGGGUAGUGGCUUACCAAGGCUUUGACGGGUAGCCGGCCUGAGAGGGUGACCGGCCACAUUGGGACUGAGAUACGGCCCAGACUCCUACGGGAGGCAGCAGUGGGGAAUAUUGCACAAUGGGCGGAAGCCUGAUGCAGCAACGCCGCGUGCGGGAUGACGGCCUUCGGGUUGUAAACCGCUUUCGCCUGUGACGAAGCGUGAGUGACGGUAAUGGGUAAAGAAGCACCGGCUAACUACGUG